UGAUGAUGAUGAGGAUGAUGAUGAUGGUGGUGGUGGUGGUGAUGAUGUCGUCGUCAUCACUACCAUUGCUAUCAUCAUCGUCAUCAUCAUCG
rnacentral:pre_miRNA from 1 species